CACGUAGGCGGAAAAUUAAGUCAGUAGUGAAAUCCUGCAGCUUAACUGUAGAACUGUUAUUGAUACUGGUUUUCUUGAAUGUAGUUGAGGUAGGCGGAAUGUGUAAUGUAGCGGUGAAAUGCUUAGAUAUUACACAGAACACCGAUUGCGAAGGCAGCUUACUAAACUAUGAUUGACGCUGAGGCACGAAAGCGUGGGGAGCGAACAGGAUUAGAUACCCUGGUAGUCC
rnacentral:rRNA from 1 species